rnacentral:rRNA from 1 species
GUUAUGCAAGUUGGUAGGGGAGCAUUCUAUUAUAGGGAGAAGCAUGACCGGAAGGACAUGUGGACGAGAUAGAAGAGAGAAUGCCGGAAUGAGUAGCGAGAAUUAUGUGAGAAUCAUAAUGGUCGAAAACCUAAGGUUUCUUGAGGAAGGUUCGUCCGCUCAAGGUAAGCCGGGAGCUAAGGCGAGGCCGAAAGGCGUAGUCGAUGCACAUACGGUAGAAAUUCCGUAGCCACCGAAAUUGUUAAGCACAGGGACGCAGGAACAUAAUCCAACCGCACCGAUGGUCGAGUGCGGCGAAAGGGAGCGAAAAUUAAGUAGCGAAGUGGAUGAUUGUACACUGACGAGAAAAGCUGUGUGGAUUGAUGAGGUGCCCGUACCGUAAACCGACACAGGUGGGUGAGGAGAGAAUCCUAAGACCAGCGGGAGAAGUGUUGUUAAGGAACUCGGCAAAUUGACCCCGUAACUUCGGGAAAAGGGGUGCCUGCUAGCGCAGGCCGCAGAGAAUAGGCCCAAGCGACUGUUUAGCAAAAACACAGGUCUCUGCUAAAUCGAAAGAUGAAGUAUAGGGGCUGACGCCUGCCCGGUGCCGGAAGGUUAAGAGGAGGACUUAGCGCAAGCGAAGGUCUGAAUUGAAGCCCCGGUAAACGGCGGCCGUAACAAUAACGGUCCUAAGGUAGCGAAAUUCCUUGUCAGGUAAGUUCUGACCCGCACGAAUGGCGUAACGAUUUGGGCAUUGUCUCAACAACACACCCGGUGAAAUUGUAGUACCGGUGAAGAUGCCGGUUACCCGCGACUAGACGGAAAGACCCCAUGGAGCUUUACUGUAACUUGAUAUUGGAUUUUGGUAUUGCAUGUACAGGAUAGGUGGGAGACUGAGAAGCACGCCAGUUUGUGUGGAGUCAAUGUUGGGAUACCACUCUUGUGAUACUGGAAUUCUAACCUGCGGCCGUGAAACCGGUCGGGGGACAAUGUCUGGUGGACAGUUUGACUGGGGCGGUCGCCUCCUAAAGAGUAACGGAGGCGUUCAAAGGUUAGCUCAGUACGGUCAGAAAUCGUACGAAGAGUGCAAACGCAAAAGCAAGCCUAACUGCGAGACGAACAGGUCGAGCAGUAACGAAAGUUGGAGUUAGUGAUCCGGCGGUAAGAGAGUGGAAUUGCCGUCGCUCAACGGAUAAAAGCUACCCUGGGGAUAACAGGCUGAUCUCCCCCAAGAGUCCAUAUCGACGGGGAGGUUUGGCACCUCGAUGUCGGCUCAUCGCAUCCUGGAGCUGGAGUCGGUUCCAAGGGUUGGGCUGUUCGCCCAUUAAAGCGGUACGCGAGCUGGGUUCAGAACGUCGCGAGACAGUUCGGUCCCUAUCUGUCGCGGGCGCAGGAAAUUUGAAGGGAGCUGUCCUUAGUACGAGAGGACCGGGAUGGACGUACCACUGGUGUACCAGUUGUCUUGCCAAAGGCACGGCUGGGUAGCUAAGUACGGAAGGAAUAAACGCUGAAGGCAUCUAAGCGUGAAGUCCCCCCUAAGAUAAGAUUUCCCAUUCUUUAAAAGAAGUAAGACCCCACGUAGACUAUGUGGUUGAUAGGUCGGAGGUGUAAGUGUGGUAACACAUUAAGCUGACCGAUACUAAUAGGUCGAGGGCUUGAC